rnacentral:misc_RNA from 1 species
GAUGAAGAACGUAGUGAAAUGCGAUAAGUAAUGCGAAUUGCAAAUUCAGUGAAUCAUCGAGUCUUUGAACGCACAUUGCGCCCCCUGGUAUUCCGGGGGGCAUGCCUGUCCGAGCGUCAUUGCUGCCCUCAAGCACGGCUUGUGUGUUGGGCCCCGUCCUCCGAUCCCGGGGGACGGGCCCGAAAGGCAGCGGCGGCACCGCGUCCGGUCCUCGAGCGUAUGGGGCUUUGUCACCCGCUCUGUAGGCCCGGCCGGCGCUUGCCGAUCAACCCAAAUUUUUAUCCAGGUUGACCUCGGAUCAGGUAGGGAUACCCGCUGAACUUAAGCAUAUCAAUAAGCGGAGGA